rnacentral:rRNA from 9 species
UUGACCUCGGAUCAGGUAGGACUACCCGCUGAACUUAA